rnacentral:rRNA from 1 species
CCUACGGGUGGCAGCAGUGGGGAAUAUUGGGCAAUGGGCGCAAGCCUGACCCAGCAACGCCGCGUGAAGGAAGAAGGCUUUCGGGUUGUAAACUUCUUUUCUCAGGGACGAAGCAAGUGACGGUACCUGAGGAAUAAGCCACGGCUAACUACGUGCCAGCAGCCGUGGUAAUACGUCGGUGGCAAGCGUUAUCCGGAUUUCCUGGGUGGAAAGGGCGUGUAGGCGGGACGGCAAGUCAGAUGUGAAAACCACGGGCUCAACCUGUGGCCUGCAUUGGAAACUGUAGUUCUUGAGUACUGGGGAGGCAGACGGAAUUCCUGGUGUAGCGGUGAAAUGCGUAGAUAUUAGGAGGAACACCAGUGGCGAAGGCAGUCUGCUGGACAGCAACUGACGCUGAAGCACGAAAGCGUGGGUAUCGAACAGGAUUAGAUACCCUAGUAGUC